rnacentral:misc_RNA from 1 species
GUGAGUCAUCGAAUCUUUGAACGCACAUUGCGCCCACUGGUAUUCCGGUGGGCAUGCCUGUUCGAGCGUCAUUACAACACUUAAGCCCUGUUGCUUAGCGUUGGGAGCCUACGACGUACUGUAGCUCCUCAAAGUUAGUGGCGGAGCCGGUCCGUGCUCUAGGCGUAGUAGAUUUUCGUCUCGCCUGUAGCCGGGCCCGGUGCCCUGCCGUAAAACACACCUAUUUUCUUAAGGUUGACCUCGGAUCAGGUAGGAAUACCCGCUGAACUUAAGCAUAUCAAUAAGCGGAGGA